rnacentral:lncRNA from 7 species
AAAGUCUGAGGUUGACUGUGAGGUUUAUGAACAUUCCCUCUAGAAGCUUGAGGAUUCUUUCUGUGGACUGCAGACUCCCAGAAGAGGCAUUUCAAGGGACAGGAGGGUUCCAAACUCCAAGCCUUCCUCAGAACAGUGUCAUCUCAGAGAUGCAUUUAUGAAAUAAGGUCUGAGGAAGGGGUGGGCAUGUGACGGGAAGAUAACCUCUUAUUCACAACCGAAGCUGCUUGUAGCUAAAAUGACCACGUUUCUUAUUAAGUUUCAAAGAUGCUAAAGAAGAAAAGGAGGAGGAAGAGGAGGAGAAGGUUUUGUGUUAGCAGGAAUCUCCAUCCCUGAGACUGGAUGAACUCCUUGGGGCUAUGUGCUUAGCUGAGGGUU